GACGAACGCUGGCGGCGUGCUUAACACAUGCAAGUCGAGCGGUAAGGCCCUUUCGGGGGUACACGAGCGGCGAACGGGUGAGUAACACGUGGGUGACCUGCCCUCAGCUCUGGGAUAAGCCUGGGAAACCGGGUCUAAUACUGGAUAUGACUCCAUGACGCAUGUUGUGGGGUGGAAAGCCUUGUGCGGCUGAGGAUGGGCCCGCGGCCUAUCAGCUUGUUGGUGGGGUGANGGCCACCAAGGCGACGACGGGUAGCCGGCCUGAGAGGGCGACCGGCCACACUGGGACUGAGACACGGCCCAGACUCCUACGGGAGGCAGCAGUGGGGAAUCUUGCGCAAUGGGCGAAAGCCUGACGCAGCGACGCGCGUGAGGGAUGACGGCCU
rnacentral:rRNA from 1 species